rnacentral:lncRNA from 1 species
CCUGCUUUUCCAGAGGGAACAUGCUGAGACACAGGCGAAUGCCCUCCACAGGGACUGCCGGGUCUUGUUCCCAAGGCACAUCGAGCUGUAUGGUAUUUCUCCUCCGUGGGCGGUCUUUGUCCUGUAGAAAAUGAAAUCCCAACCACCAAGAAAACAUGGAAGUUAUAGCGGGUGAAGUCAUAAGACUUCUGUUUAUGGUUUUUAUUUCUUAGGCACCUACCAUGGACCACAGGCCACCAACAUAUUUUGUCUAUGUAUUUCAUUUCCUCUUUACAACAAACUCACCAGGCAGGUGUUAUCUCCGCCUAAUACACGUGGCUACUGACGCCCGCAAAGUCACAUGACUUACGAUGGAAGUUGGCAUUUGAACCAACUCGGACUCCCUCUAAAAUACGUGACUCCACAGUGUCUCCUAACGAGCAAGAGGCUUUGUCCCCCAGCUCUCUUUCCACUUCAUAGCAGCCUCUCUCCCUCCAUUCCAGAAAGAAGCUGGGAAACAGUGGAGCUGGCAGGCACCUCUGGUUCUCACACAGCCAACGUGUGUGACACGGCCAGGCUGCUGGGCAUACGCUUGGGCCAAGGGACAGAAGUACAUGAGCUCCUAGGAAAAGGAAACCACCUACUAGCUGAAACCUAUGAGAAGUCUGGGAGAAACUGUUUGACAAGACUGACUAGGAUUGAAAAUCAUGGUUGGCAGAGGAAAUCAGAGGCAAGCGAAGAACAGAAAAAGUAGGUAUCUGCCACAAUGAAGACAGCCACAGCGAUGUGACAGAGGGAGAAGAGUAGCUACCGCUGCCGCACCAAGAACACACAGGCACGCCCUUCAGAUGCGCGCUCCUGCUUGGUCCACCGGAACAACUCUGCAAGGGGGCUGCUGCGUAUGGUCUUUAAGAACAGGAUGAUGACGUUAAAAAUUCUUUGUUUACAUAUUUAUUUCAAUCCUGGGCCUCACUUAUGCCAGGCAAGAGCUCUACCACUGAACUCCAGGCCCGCCCCUAAGAUUUUUUUUUUUUAACACAUUGGGAAUUCCUAACACGUAAGAAAAAUAAAAUUGGGGUUGAUUUCAUGAGAGGACUCAUCAUCCCAGGUGAUUACUGUCGCUCUAAAUGUAGUUUUACUGACAUUUAAGGACAAGUAAAUGAUACCUGGUAGAUUAGAAAACACGGAACCCUUUUUUUGAACUCCAGGCCCGCCCCUAAGAUUUUUUUUUUUUAACACAUUGGGAAUUCCUAACACGUAAGAAAAAUAAAAUUGGGGUUGAUUUCAUGAGAGGACUCAUCAUCCCAGGUGAUUACUGUCGCUCUAAAUGUAGUUUUACUGACAUUUAAGGACAAGUAAAUGAUACCUGGUAGAUUAGAAAACACGGAACCCUUUUUUUAGAGAAAUGGACAGCUCACUUGCAAGUCCCUGUCUCUCUGGCAGACUCUGUGCCCCUGAGAGGUCAGCAUGGCUAAUGGCUCCAAUGCACUGGUAGAUUAAGCAUAGGCUGUGCCCCUUUGUGCAGCAAGACUGCCAAAAACACACUGCUAAAGAUGGGAGGGACCACUACUUGGCCCUUUUUAAGUUUCCUCUCAAGUGCUGGGGUGUUCUGAGCAAGAAUGUUAGUUAUGUGAACACGUCUAUAAAACAAUUAUCGGAGAAACACAAAGACCAAAUGUUGAAAUUCCAAAGUUUUCACUUACUGGCACUUAUUUCUACAUGUGCUUCCCAGGAGAGACAGAUGUGGCUGCUGCCACUGGUAGUGAUUGAAACACACAUUUUUAGAUGUUGGAUGUCCUAGAACCCUUUUAGCCAGCAUGAUGCCUGUUAGAUGCCACUUUGCCAAUUCCUGGCUGACUUUUCCUCAUCUGCUCAGUGCAACCAUCUGUCAAGAAGGGUCAAGUGGGCAUUGCUUUUGGUAACUCCUCCAAGCUUGGACAACAGCUCCAGGGAGAGAGCUACAUGUGGGGAUGCAAACAGGGUUAUUUUCUGGCAGCUCACUCUCUGGAUAUGUUCAGGCCUCCCGGCAGGGCCUUGAGUUUCUGGCUGCUUGUCAAUCCCAUUGAGCAGCAGUGCUGGUGAGACACAUUUUUUCUGUCUGAAAGACAGAAAGGACAAAUACUAAAGUUCCCCAAAAAUAAUUAAGCCUUUGGACCCCUUUCCACAAGCACAAAUCUGUGUGAGGUUUUCUGGAGCAAGCUCUGUAGACUACAUUCCAAAGGCCAAGAGGCAAGAGCACACUGGUCAGUCAGCCAUGUUCUCUCCAUAAAUAGCGCCAUGCAUCUCUAAAGCAAUGAGACAGUGUUGAGCAAUCCUAUGUAUGGUACUAGCCGGAUGGCAGCACUAAUGGUCAUGGACAUAAUAGAGACAACAAUGACAGAGAUGGAUAGAGGGAAAAGUUAGUCAACUAUACUGUUGGGCAAAUCACGCACUGACUCUGGUAACUGUAAGUUUUCUCAUCUGUAAGUUUCCACUCUGGUUUAGAGGGACUUUGCCUGCGCUUUGGCAUAUGAGAUGUAUUGGUCAGCUUUUCAUUGCUGGGACAAAAUACUUGACACCUACAGCUUAAAGGAGGAGAGGUUUAAUUUGGAUCAAGGCUCCAGAGGUUUAAUUUGGAUCAGUCCAUGGUCAGUUGGUUCUGUGGCAUAAACAUCAUGGUGGAAGGCCUGACUAGAUUUACCCAGUAGGAUUUUACAUCAGCCCCAGAAACUUGUACAUUUGAGCAGAUUUGGAAUCACACUACAUGAAGAAAUGGAUUUUCUUGGUCUAAUUUUGAGACAAUCUGAACUUAGUAAGAGGAAGUGGGUGCUUAAUAAUUUCUUAUUUUUGUCUCAAGGGGGUGUUUUGUGGCAGAGAGUGACCAAUGGCACUGGCCAAACUUACAUUGAGUCCAAGUCUGGAAAUAGGUGGGGGUUUUCUUUCUUUCUUGUUUUUUUUUUUUUUUUCUGUUAAUAGAAAAAUGGAAGUCCUUGUAAGCUACCACUUACCCUCCAGUUGCAUCUUCCUCAUGUUAUGUCCCUCUUAUGGCUUGACAGUGCUCCUCUAAAGGGUCAACCAAGGUGACCUUGAGUUGUCAGUGUUUCAAAACAGCCCAGGGUGGGGACUACGGAUGACAG